UCCGGCUGCAAAAAAAAUAAAAUAAAAUUGGGACACUCUCAGUUGCAUGUUGGACACGUGUCUACCGCGUGUCCGAUAUUGGUAUAGAGCCUUCGGAGAGGUGUCCGUGCUUCAUAGAGCACGGGCAUGGACAUGCACGAUAGAGGCACUGACACAUCAAUUUAAAAAAAAAAAAAUGCAUGAGACAACACGUGGGGAACACACACAGAACAUUUGAUUUUAUAAUAUGAAUAUGAUGAUAAAAAAAAAAAAAA